UACGUAGGGUCCGAGCGUUGUCCGGAAUUAUUGGGCGUAAAGGGCUCGUAGGCGGUUCGUCACGUCGGGAGUGAAAACUCGGAGCUUAACUCCGAGCCUGCUUCCGAUACGGGCAGACUAGAGGUAGGCAGGGGAGAGCGGAACUCCUGGUGUAGCGGUGGAAUGCGCAGAUAUCAGGAAGAACACCCGUGGCGAAAGCGGCUCUCUGGAACGGUACUGACGCUGAGACGCGAAAGCGUGGGGAGCGAACAGG
rnacentral:rRNA from 1 species